GUCCCCCAGACGUAGGUGUAUUAUCACCGAACUGGGUAACCAUUGUUGGUGUUCUUGUGUUCUUCAUAUUUUUUACACAGUUUCUGGUUGAGUCUCUGCAUGAGUUUUAACUUCUGUGUGUGCGAGUUUAUAUGUAUAUGGAUAGGCGAAACUCUCAAAAGCAAACUUAAAUCCCUCCAGUUUCUUUUGAUAUAUGGCUUGUCCCUCACGAAAUGAAUAUUAAUAUUUCUAUGUGCUUGGUGCGAGCAUAAAAUUGUUGUGGACAGAUGCAGGGCUGGUGAAAUCUGCUCCGUUCAUGUUGGAUAUCGGCCAAAACGAUAACCAAUUCAACAACAUAUAUACCAAAACUCUUCAACAAGUGCUCGACAGAGACGUCCCCGCAAUCGUCUCCAACAUUGGGGAGGCUAUGCAGAAGCUAUGCCAACUGGGUGGGAGAAAUUUCUGGGUGCAUAACACGGGGCUGUUGGGCUGUUUGCCUUCCAACGUAGCCCGCAUAAAUGCAUCCACAACGGUCGACGAGUACGGCUGCGUUUCCGACAGCAACAAAGCAGCUGCCGCCUUCAACUAAAAUAUUAAACUUAUGUGUUUAUUCCAUCGUUUUUAUGUAAUCGGUCAAAUUUGGAAUUAGUUAUUUGUAGUCAUUAUUACCAGAUAAUUUAUCUUUAUAAUUUUUUUUAAAUGUUCAUGUAUAA